AUUGAACGCUGGCGGAAUGCUUUACACAUGCAAGUCGAACGGCAGCACGGACUUCGGUCUGGUGGCGAGUGGCGAACGGGUGAGUAAUGUAUCGGAACGUGCCCAGUCGUGGGGGAUAACGUAGUGAAAAUUACGCUAAUACCGCAUACGAUCUAUGGAUGAAAGCGGGGGAGCGCAAGACCUCGCGCGAUUGGAGCGGCCGAUAUCAGAUUAGGUAGUUGGUGGGGUAAAGGCCCACCAAGCCAACGAUCUGUAGCUGGUCUGAGAGGACGACCAGCCACACUGGAACUGAGACACGGUCCAGACUCCUACGGGAGGCAGCAGUGGGGAAUUUUGGACAAUGGGCGAAAGCCUGAUCCAGCCAUUCCGCGUGCAGGAUGAAGGCCCUCGGGUUGUAAACUGCUUUUGUACAGAACGAAAAGGUUUCUACUAAUACUAGGAGCUCAUGACGGUACUGUAAGAAUAAGCACCGGCUAACUACGUGCCAGCAGCCGCCGUAU
rnacentral:rRNA from 1 species